UACGAAGGGGGCGAGCGUUGUUCGGAAUCACUGGGCGUAAAGGGCGCGUAGGCGGCCCUCCUUGUCGCGUGUGAAAGCCCCGGGCUCAACCUUGGAACUGCCUUUGAUACUGGGGAUCUUGAGUCCGGGAGAGGUGAGUGGAACUGCGAGUGUAGAGGUGAAAUUCGUAGAUAUUCGCAAGAACACCAGUGGCGAAGGCGGCUCACUGGCCCGGUACUGACGCUGAGGUGCGAAAGCGUGGGAGCAAACAGG
rnacentral:rRNA from 1 species